UCUUUCCUGAAAUCACCAGUUAAAUUGCAUUAUUGUUCAGUCUGAAAAUUACUCAGAUACAAAAUCCAGGCUCUUAAAAAAAGCUUUUUUGAUUUGAGAAGUAGUUCUGUAGUGGGCCCAUAGUUUGGGAUUUUUUUCCAUGGAAAAUGUUUAGAAGUUUUUUUUUGUUAAACAAAAUAAUUUCAGACAAUAGCCAAAACUAGAAACCAAACAACACUGUUGUCCCCUCAUUUAACGUUACUGACUCCUAGCAGGUACUGGCAAGCAUAGUGACAACAUUUCUAUGACAUCUUUAUAAGCACUAUCAUGUAAAAUACGGUUAUCACAUUCACACUAUCCAAUUGGCAAAUGGUUACUGAAGAGAGUUUUGAGGAUUGAAAAUCCUUAUGCUAGGAGAGGAAGAAGACGGAGGUGCUGUUUGUUGUAGCACAGUAUGGUGGGAAGGAAUUAUCAGUUUCUACACAUGUAGGAACAGUACGACAAUGGAACAGACUGCCUAGGGAGGUUGUGGAAGCUCCUUCGCUGGAGAUUUUCAAAAGGAGACUGGAGUCAUCUGUCUUGGAUGUUUUAGACAUACCAAAUCCUGCAUCUUGGCAGAGAGUUAAACUAGAUGACCCUUGCGGUCCCUUCUAACCCUAUGAUUCCAUGAUUCCAAAUUGAUAAGGGAUUUUAGUCCUAAUAACCCAAAUAUCAGAGCCACAGUCUGUAGCAGCCUAGUUUAGAAGUGUCAAAUAGUUAACCUGCUUUCCCCCCCCCAACAGUUUUCAACAGAGCGAUGUGAACUGGAGACCUAGAAGGUAGGGAGAGAGUGCAGAUUUCCUCCAGGUCUUAACAGAUGUGGUGUCAUCUCCAAAGAUGCCAACCAGGCAGAAUAACAUAAAUCCCCCUAACUAUUAAUGAAUCAGGAGAUCUGAUUACAACAUGGUUAAAAGCUGUAGUGUAGAUUCAACCUAGCCAUGACCAUGUAACCAGGCUUCAGAUUUGAACCAUCCAGGACAGUACCCCAGUUCGAUCUCGCCUACACCACAACUUAGAACCAUGUUGUAACUCGAUUUCCUGACUCAGUUAUAGUUGUAAUGUAGGCAGGGGCCUUUGGCUGGCUGAGGCAAGUAUAUUUAUAAGCAUGAGAAGGUGAUUAAAUAUACCAUAUAACUGAGCUAAAUAUGUUUUUGUGUCACAGAAUAAAGUUAAUUACAUUUUCUGUAGUGGGAGAGUAACUUUUUUUUUUUUUUUUUUUUUUUUAAAAGGCAAUGCAGUGGUUUGAGAAGCUAUUCUCCUUCUAAGGGAAGGCAGUUGACUUUUUAUCUUCACAUGUCAGCCAUAACUGUGUGUGCUGUAUUGGAUACCUCUCCCUCCCAGGAUGCUAUGAGGAUUACUUAAUAUCUGGAGAGUGCUAAAGAAGUGGGGUUAUCAUCAUCAUCAUUACAUUAGCAAGUGCUACAAAAAUAUCAAAGUGGCCUGAUUAUACCCAAGUUAGAUUCUCAGUCUCUGGAUUCCGCAGACAGGCUGUCAGUACUGAGGAAGCUUGCUUGGUGUCCUGAUGAUGGUGAGAGGAGAAGAUAAGGAAGCGUGUCACACCGCUCAGAACUAACCACUCCUUUUUUGGAUCAGAGAUGGCACUUCAGGGACUUGUUCAGAAGUGAUGUCCACACCCUGGAGCCUCAGAAUGCUACGGCUGGACUGUUUGGGGCUCCAGCAGGGACAAAGGCUCUUCCGGAAUGGGACUACCAUUUUUUUUUCUAUUAACUCUAGGACCAUCUUUGUGAAGUGCAUGUGAUGAUGCAACAGCAGUUACAUGGCCAGUCGCUGAGGGCCCAAUCCUGCAAAGUGCUGAGCACCAGCUCCUGACUGAAACCAAUGGAACCUGAAGGCACUCAGCACCUUGCAGUAACUGAGCCCACAGUUCACACUGCAGAUAACUGUAUAGUGUGUGCUUUCCUUUCUAAGCUAUUGCCUCUCUCACUGUUUAUUGACAGUUGAUUUGUGCUGCACAUGGGGAGAAGAGAGCCGGAGCAUUCAAAUCACCUUUCUUGGCAGCACUAGAUGAGGACAGGAAACUCAAACAGGUUAUUGUGGUGAUAAGAGGCACUAGUUCAUUUACUUUGCAUUCCUGUAAUAGGUUUUAGUGCUAAUCAGGACAAACUAUAAAUGGAAAGAUGUUCAUGUUUGUUUAAGCACUACUAGAACGGGAAUAACCUCCCUUCCUGAUACUGAGUUUCAGCACAUGAAGACACAUGGCUGUUUGUUUUUAAACAAGAAGGUACUAUACAAUUGGUCAUGCUAAACACCUAACCUUUUAAGUGUAAUAACAAAACCCUAUGUCACUGAUAAACGAUUUCACUGUGCUGUAGGUGACCUCCAGAGUAUCUCAAGUCAUGUGAACAACCACAUAUGCUUAAUUUUCCGAUAUCUAGGGUACAAAGCAGCUGUCCGAGAACCCAGGCAGUAUGUGCAACUUAGAAGUUUCACAGAAAGUUUUGUAUGCGUUACAAACUUAUAGUUAACAGAGACAGACAGCAUGACAUAUGGUAAACAUGCCAAAUUCAGUACUAAUAUUACAGUUCUUCUGGUAUUAAACCCAGCAUUAGAGCAGGAUGGUAGCUGGUUAGCCAACUCUGAUGUUGGGCUCCCAGUACUGCAACUGUCACACAUCUUUCAUGUGGGCUUUUCACCAAUCUGGUAGCAACCAACGGAAGAUUCAGAAAUGACAAUUUCAGUUAGAAAUCUAAUCUCCAAAUUCAAUUCCCAGGUCAUUCAUGUAGUUCCUUGCCUGUUGAGAUUUCACAAGUUCACUAAACUAACCCAGAAGAAUGCAGCUUGUUUUUAAAUGUAUUACCAUAUAUUUGUGCAGUGAGGUUUGUGGUUUUCAUUGUCAUAUAGAACCAAACUGGUGGGUGAUAAGCACUUCACAAAACAUUAGUUGGGUGUACUGCACAUAGAUAAGGAUCCAGAAUAUUAAAUAGUCAAUAAAAUAAAACUAGCACGACCAGACUGGAUAAUCCAGUUCUAUAGGACAUUAAUGUACCACAACAACAAAAAACCCAACCCCCAGUGGUGUUUUGCAACUUUUUUUUUUUUUUUUUUUAUAAGGAAGAGUAACUUAAACAAUCUGGACUUAAACUAGUGUCCUCUCUUAUUUUCAUCAGUUAGGUACCCUCAUCCCUCCUCAGAGGCACCUAACCUCUUCCCCUUAAUAAGACUGCUUACAAGUAAAGGCCAACUACUGCACUGAGUUUAUACAAGCGAGUCAAACUCUACAUAGGACAGGUCUAUACACUUAUAUUCACAUAUGCUGUGUUAUGUCAGCAUAGGUUAAAGUUUUUCUUAAUAUUAAUAUAGCUACAAGCCACAAAGCAAUCGUGAAUUGAGAGAGUAGUAAUUUUCAUUCGUCUAAUCAAGAAUGCUCAGGGAUAGAGGGGAUCUCCGUACAACAUUUACAUGGGUGAAAAUACUGGUAUAGAGGGGGGAAAAAUUGUGAGGAUACCCAUAAACUGAGAUUCCUGAAAUUUCUGGCUCACUAGCUUAACAUUUCCUACUCUACUGUGGAUAAGAGGGGUUUAAAAAGUGCUCAUUUUGCUCUUAUAAAAAUAACUGCUUGUUUGCUAGAACUACAUUCAAACAAUGAACAGUCUCAUAAAGACAGAAGAACUGGUUUGGACCACAGAGAUCAGACUAGCACAGUCCUUCGCCACCAAUUCAGCCUGCCGACUGAAAGGGCAACUGGUUUACAAACACUGAGUAGAAUGAUGCAAUCACUGUGACAGCAUUUCAUUUAGCUGCUUUCUAAUGGAUUUCCAAAAGGUGAGGAGAAAGGGCUACAUCUCAAAUAUCUCUUUCACAUGUAAUCAACCACCAGAGUCCAACCACAACCAUUUUAUUUUGUAUUUAAUGCCAUGUUUUCAUGAAGAAAAAACUGAUAAAAGCUAUUCUUAAAAGAGCCUCUUUCUUAUUAUUUUAUGUAUUAAAUUAUAAGACUGUGCAGUCCCUAGCACACAACUUGUUCAACGUCAACUAUGACAGACCUGAACCAUUAAACUUGUGUUAUCCCUAGUGCCAUCUCCCUCAGGCACACAGCAGAGACAAGAGAGGACCUUUAUACCCUGCCCUUUAGGUCAACAGACAGGCUUUAUUGUACCAGUGGGAGAAGCAUACUCCAGGGUUAAGAGCCUUCCACUACAAAUCUUUUGCCUCCAGUUCCCAGUAUAUCGGCAGAAGAACCCCAGGGAACCUCUAUUCUAUUCUAAUCAGAGGCUUAUAAGGCACCCAUCAUGCCAUAGUAUUUGGGUGCCUACUCAAGAUUCUUAUACCAUGACUCAGUUGCCAUGGUGGCACAUACAGAGAGUGACUCUCUUUCAAGUAAUCAGAAGCCUAUCUGUGUACAGUUUUAUAAAUCAGACUCAACACUUCCAAUCACAUCUGAAGCAACCAUAGAGCUAUUGCAGUAUUCAGAGAAUUAGUGCAAUACAUUCCCUGCUAUGCUCCCCCACAGCUGGAUGUGGGGAAAGCUAUGUACUGGAGCAGUGCUUUGUGUAAUCCAAUCUGGAAGGGACAAAGGUACUAAAAAAAUCCUUGCAUAAUGACAGGUUUCAGAGUAGCAGCCGUGUUAGUCUGUAUCCACAAAAAGAACAGGAGGACUUGU